rnacentral:rRNA from 1 species
GUCUUGCAUUGGAUUGAGAACAAUGUACAACUCUUAUCGAUAAGCCAUUGGAGGGCAAGUCUGGUGCCAGCAGCCGCGGUAAUUCCAGCUCCAAUAGCGUAUAUUAACGUUGUUGCAGUUAAAAAGCUCGUAGUUGAAGUGUGGGUGAUCGCUGUUGUGAGACUUCGGUCUCUCGACAGUAAGUCACCCCCUUCCAGUAUCCAGUAGUGGGUAUUCAGUUACUUACUAUUGUGUGUUGGUCCUUUACUGUGAGAAAAUUAGAGUGUUCAAAGCAGGCGUUUGCUUGAAUAGAUUAGCAUGGAAUAAUAAUUGAAGGCUUUCGUGUUCGAUUUGAUUGGUUUGUUCAUGGAAGCAAGGUUAAAAGGAACAGUUGGGGGUAUUCAUAUUCACUAGUUAGAGGUGAAAUUCUCGGAUUUAUGGAAGAUGAACAAG